GUGGUUGUGGACUGAUGGAACUGCAUUUUUAUAUACCAACUGGUGCCCUGGAGAACCUAACAAUUCACAACAGCCCGAGACCUGUUUGGAGCUCAACUUUCCCAAUGGCCGUUGCUGGAAUGAUGCUCCCUGUUCAAUCUUAAAGAGCUAUUUCUGUGCUAAGAAGGCAUUUGGUUGAACUUUUUCUGAUCUUAUCUUUUCAAAAAUGUUAUUCUGAAAUCAAGUCUCUUCUAAACUUUAAUCUCUUCUCAAUAUCUUCUCUGAAACACUCCUCAAGUUAAUAAAGCAUUGAUGAAGCAAAUCAUGUGCAUCACAAUCUAAUUCAUGAAUGUAAAAAUAUAAAUGUAUUGUGUAGCUCGGUUUGAGGAUUUGUUUAUUAAAAUGGUCAUUUGCAA